rnacentral:rRNA from 1 species
AACGAACGCUGGCGGCAUGCCUAACACAUGCAAGUCGAACGAGACCUUCGGGUCUAGUGGCGCACGGGUGCGUAACGCGUGGGAACCUGCCCUUAGGUUCGGAAUAACUCCCCGAAGGGGGUCCUAAUACCGGAUAAGGUCUUCGGACCAAGGAUUUGUCGCCUUUGGAUGGGCCCUCGUUGGUUUAGCUGGUUGGUAGGGUAAAAGCCUACCAAGGCGACGUUCCAUGGCUGGUCUGAGAGGAUGAUCCGCCCAACUGGGACUGAGACACGGCCCAGACUCCUACGGGAGGCAGCAGUGGGGAAUAUUGGACGAUGGGCGAAAGCCUGAUCCAGCAAUGCCGCGUGAGUGAUGAAGGCCUUAGGGUUGUAAAGCUCUUUUACCCGGGAUGAUAAUGACAGUACCGGGAGAAUAAGCUCCGGCUAACUCCGUG